GAGAGUAAAACAGUACGUGAAAUUGUUGAAAGGGAAACGCUUGAAGUCAGUCGUGCCGGCGUUGGAUUCAGCUUGCUUCGCGGAGCAGGCGCAUUUCCGCGCAUGGCAGGUCAGCGUCAGUUUUGUGCGGCGUGAAAAGGCUCGGGUAAGGUAGCUCUCUUCGGGGAGUGUUAUAGACCUGGGCAGAUGCGCUGCGCGGGACUGAGGAUUGCAGCGGACACCCCCUCGGGGGCGCGGCGACCGAACCCUGCUCGGCCACCCUCGUUCGAUAGCGUGCUAGCGGACGCGGGAGCGGCGGUGCACCGGAACAGGCAAGCCAGCGGUUCGCUAAGGAUGCUGACGUAAUGGCUUUAAACGA
rnacentral:rRNA from 1 species